rnacentral:rRNA from 1 species
UUGAACGCUGGCGGCAUGCCUUACACAUGCAAGUCGAACGGCAGCACGGGUGCUUGCACCUGGUGGCGAGUGGCGAACGGGUGAGUAAUACAUCGGAACAUGUCCUGUAGUGGGGGAUAGCCCGGCGAAAGCCGGAUUAAUACCGCAUACGAUCUACGGAUGAAAGCGGGGGACCUUCGGGCCUCGCGCUAUAGGGUUGGCCGAUGGCUGAUUAGCUAGUUGGUGGGGUAAAGGCCUACCAAGGCGACGAUCAGUAGCUGGUCUGAGAGGACGACCAGCCACACUGGGACUGAGACACGGCCCAGACUCCUACGGGAGGCAGCAGUGGGGAAUUUUGGACAAUGGGCGAAAGCCUGAUCCAGCAAUGCCGCGUGUGUGAAGAAGGCCUUCGGGUUGUAAAGCACUUUUGUCCGGAAAGAAAUCCUUGGCCCUAAUACGGUCGGGGGAUGACGGUACCGGAAGAAUAAGCACCGGCCAACUACGUG